AGUCGAGCGGCAGCACGGGGAGCUUGCUCCCUGGUGGCGAGCGGCGGACGGGUGAGUAAUGCAUAGGAAUCUGCCCGGUAGUGGGGGAUAACGUGGGGAAACCCACGCUAAUACCGCAUACGUCCUACGGGAGAAAGCAGGGGAUCUUAGGACCUUGCGCUAUCGGAUGAGCCUAUGUCGGAUUAGCUAGUUGGUAAGGUAACGGCUUACCAAGGCGACGAUCCGUAGCUGGUCUGAGAGGAUGAUCAGCCACACUGGGACUGAGACACGGUCCAGACUCCUACGGGAGGCAGCAGUGGGGAAUAUUGGACAAUGGGCGAAAGCCUGAUCCAGCCAUGCCGCGUGUGUGAAGAAGGCUUUCGGGUUGUAAAGCACUUUCAGCGAGGAAGAAAGCCUCUGGGCCAAUACCCCAGAGGAAGGACAUCACUCGCAGAAGAAGCACCGGCUAACUCCGUGCCAGCAGCCGCGGUAA
rnacentral:rRNA from 1 species